rnacentral:rRNA from 1 species
AGAUGUGAAUUGCAGAACUCCGUGAACCGACAGGAACUUGAAAGCAUAUUGUGCUUUUGGGAUAUCCCUGAAAGCAUGCCUGCUUCAGUGUC